GGUUAAGUUAGAAAGGGCGCACGGUGGAUGCCUUGGCACUAGGAGCCGAUGAAGGACGGGACGAACACCGAUAUGCUUCGGGGAGCUGUAAGCAAGCUUUGAUCCGGAGAUUUCCGAAUGGGGAAACCCACCACUCGUAAUGGAGUGGUAUCCAUAUCUGAAUUCAUAGGAUAUGAGAAGGCAGACCCGGGGAACUGAAACAUCUAAGUACCCGGAGGAAGAGAAAGCAAAUGCGAUUCCCUGAGUAGCGGCGAGCGAAACGGGAUUAGCCCAAACCAAGAGGCUUGCCUCUUGGGGUUGUAGGACACUCUGUACGGAGUUACAAAAGAACGAGGUAGAUGAAGAGGUCUGGAAAGGCCCGCCAUAGGAGGUAACAGCCCUGUAGUCAAAACUUCGUUCUCUCCUGAGUGGAUCCUGAGUACGGCGGAACACGUGAAAUUCCGUCGGAAUCCGGGAGGACCAUCUCCCAAGGCUAAAUACUCCCUAGUGACCGAUAGUGAACCAGUACCGUGAGGGAAAGGUGAAAAGCACCCCGGAAGGGGAGUGAAAGAGAUCCUGAAACCGUGUGCCUACAAGUAGUCAGAGCCCGUUAACGGGUGAUGGCGUGCCUUUUGUAGAAUGAACCGGCGAGUUACGAUCCCGUGCAAGGUUAAGCAGAAGAUGCGGAGCCGCAGCGAAAGCGAGUCUGAAUAGGGCGCAUGAGUACGUGGUCGUAGACCCGAAACCAGGUGAUCUACCCAUGUCCAGGGUGAAGUUCAGGUAACACUGAAUGGAGGCCCGAACCCACGCACGUUGAAAAGUGCGGGGAUGAGGUGUGGGUAGGGGUGAAAUGCCAAUCGAACCUGGAGAUAGCUGGUUCUCUCCGAAAUAGCUUUAGGGCUAGCCUCAAGGUAAGAGUCUUGGAGGUAGAGCACUGAUUGGACUAGGGGCCCCUACCGGGUUACCGAAUUCAGUCAAACUCCGAAUGCCAAUGACUUAUCCUUGGGAGUCAGACUGCGAGUGAUAAGAUCCGUAGUCGAAAGGGAAACAGCCCAGACCGCCAGCUAAGGUCCCAAAGUAUACGUUAAGUGGAAAAGGAUGUGGAGUUGCUUAGACAACCAGGAUGUUGGCUUAGAAGCAGCCACCAUUUAAAGAGUGCGUAAUAGCUCACUGGUCGAGUGACUCUGCGCCGAAAAUGUACCGGGGCUAAACGUAUCACCGAAGCUGCGGACUGUUCUUCGAACAGUGGUAGGAGAGCGUUCUAAGGGCUGUGAAGCCAGACCGGAAGGACUGGUGGAGCGCUUAGAAGUGAGAAUGCCGGUAUGAGUAGCGAAAGAGGGGUGAGAAUCCCCUCCACCGAAUGCCUAAGGUUUCCUGAGGAAGGCUCGUCCGCUCAGGGUUAGUCGGGACCUAAGCCGAGGCCGAAAGGCGUAGGCGAUGGACAACAGGUUGAUAUUCCUGUACCACCUCCUCACCAUUUGAGNNNNNNNNNNNNNNNNNNNNAAGGCUGAGCUGUGAUGGCGAGCGAAAUAUAGUAGCGAAGUUCCUGAUUCCACACUGCCAAGAAAAGCCUCUAGCGAGGUGAGAGGUGCCCGUACCGCAAACCGACACAGGUAGGCGAGGAGAGAAUCCUAAGGUGAUCGAGAGAACUCUCGUUAAGGAACUCGGCAAAAUGACCCCGUAACUUCGGGAGAAGGGGUGCUCUGUUAGGGUGCAAGCCCGAGAGAGCCGCAGUGAAUAGGCCCAGGCGACUGUUUAGCAAAAACACAGGUCUCUGCGAAGCCGUAAGGCGAAGUAUAGGGGCUGACGCCUGCCCGGUGCUGGAAGGUUAAGAGGAGCGCUUAGCGUAAGCGAAGGUGCGAAUUGAAGCCCCAGUAAACGGCGGCCGUAACUAUAACGGUCCUAAGGUAGCGAAAUUCCUUGUCGGGUAAGUUCCGACCCGCACGAAAGGCGCAACGAUCUGGGCACUGUCUCAACGAGAGACUCGGUGAAAUUAUAGUACCUGUGAAGAUGCAGGUUACCCGCGACAGGACGGAAAGACCCCGUGGAGCUUUACUGCAGCCUGAUAUUGAAUGUUGGUACAGCUUGUACAGGAUAGGUAGGAGCCUUGGAAACCGGAGCGCCAGCUUCGGUGGAGGCAUCGGUGGGAUACUACCCUGGCUGUAUUGACCUUCUAACCCGCCGCCCUUAUCGGGCGGGGAGACAGUGUCAGGUGGGCAGUUUGACUGGGGCGGUCGCCUCCUAAAAGGUAACGGAGGCGCCCAAAGGUUCCCUCAGAAUGGUUGGAAAUCAUUCGCAGAGUGUAAAGGCACAAGGGAGCUUGACUGCGAGACCUACAAGUCGAGCAGGGACGAAAGUCGGGCUUAGUGAUCCGGUGGUUCCGCAUGGAAGGGCCAUCGCUCAACGGAUAAAAGCUACCCCGGGGAUAACAGGCUUAUCUCCCCCAAGAGUCCACAUCGACGGGGAGGUUUGGCACCUCGAUGUCGGCUCAUCGCAUCCUGGGGCUGUAGUCGGUCCCAAGGGUUGGGCUGUUCGCCCAUUAAAGCGGUACGCGAGCUGGGUUCAGAACGUCGUGAGACAGUUCGGUCCCUAUCCGUCGCGGGCGCAGGAAAUUUGAGAGGAGCUGUCCUUAGUACGAGAGGACCGGGAUGGACGCACCGCUGGUGUACCAGUUGUUCUGCCAAGGGCAUCGCUGGGUAGCUAUGUGCGGACGGGAUAAGUGCUGAAAGCAUCUAAGCAUGAAGCCCCCCUCAAGAUGAGAUUUCCCAUUCCGCAAGGAAGUAAGAUCCCUGAAAGAUGAUCAGGUUGAUAGGUCUGAGGUGGAAGUGUGGCGACACAUGGAGCUGACAGAUACUAAUCGAUCGAGGACUUAACCA
rnacentral:rRNA from 1 species